UACAGAGGGUGCUAGCGUUGUUCGGAAUCAUUGGGCGUAAAGGGUGCGUAGGUGGCGGGGUAAGUCAGGUGUGAAAUUUCGGAGCUUAACUCCGAAACUGCAUUUGAUACUGCCUUGCUUGAGGACUGGAGAGGAGACUGGAAUUCACGGUGUAGCAGUGAAAUGCGUAGAGAUCGUGAGGAAGACCAGUGGCGAAGGCGGGUCUCUGGACAGUUCCUGACACUGAGGCACGAAGGCCAGGGGGAGCAAACGGGG
rnacentral:rRNA from 1 species